rnacentral:rRNA from 1 species
UACGAAGGGGGCUAGCGUUGCUCGGAAUCACUGGGCGUAAAGCGCACGUAGGCGGGUUCUUAAGUCAGGGGUGAAAUCCCGGAGCUCAACUCCGGAACUGCCUUUGAUACUGGGGAUCUUGAGUCCGGAAGAGGUGAGUGGAACUCCGAGUGUAGAGGUGAAAUUCGUAGAUAUUCGGAAGAACACCAGUGGCGAAGGCGGCUCACUGGUCCGGUACUGACGCUGAGGUGCGAAAGCGUGGGGAGCAAACAGG